rnacentral:SRP_RNA from 1 species
GGGCAAGCCCUAUACGACCAGCUCCUGUGAACUUCCCCAGGGUCGGAAGGCAGCAAGGAUAAGCGGUUGUAGCGGUGCGAUGUAGGAACUUGCCCUUU